CGUUGCUUGGUAUGGGGCAUAGACUGCGAGUUGAGCGUCUCUAGCUAUGUUGAGACGCGGCAUACGGCUCAGUAACACGUGGCUAACCUACCCUCAGGACGGGGACAAACCCGGGAAACUGGGGCUAAUACCAGAUAGGCGAGGACGCCUGGAAUGGUUUCUCACCUAAAGAACUUUGAAAGCAUGCUUUCAAAGUCGCCUGGGGAUGGGGCCGCGUCCGAUCAGGUUGUUGGUGAGGUAACGGCUCACCAAGCCUAUAACCGGUACGGGCCGUGAGAGCGGUAGCCCGGAGAUGGGCACUGAGACAAGGGCCCAGGCCCUACGGGGCGCAGCAGUCGCGAAAACUCCGCAAUGCACGAAAGUGUGACGGGGCUACCCCGAGUGCCGUCCGCUGAGGAUGGCUUUUCCUCGGUGUAACUAGCCGGGGGAAUAAGGAGAGGGCAAGACUGGUGUCAGCCGCCGCGGUAAUACCAGCUCUCCGAGUGGUAGGGAUGAUUAUUGGGCUUAAAGCGUCCGUAGCCGGCUUAGCAAGUCUCCUGUUAAAUUCAGCGACCUAAUCGUUGAGCCGCGGGAGAUACUACUAGGCUAGGAGGCGGGAGAGGUCGACGGUACUUCUGGGGUAGGGGUGAAAUCCUAUAAUCCCGGGAGGACCACCAGUGGCGAAGGCUGUCGACUAGAACGCGCUCGACGGUGAGGGACGAAAGCUGGGGGAGCGAACCGGAUUAGAUACCCGGGUAGUCCCAGCUGUAAACGAUGCGGGCUAUGUGUUGGGGUGGCUACGUGCCACUUCAGUGCCGCAGGGAAGCCAUUAAGCCCGCCGCCUGGGGAGUACGCCGCAAGGCUGAACUUAAAGGAAUUGGCGGGGGAGCACCACAAGGCGUGAAGCUUGCGGUUCAAUUGGAGUCAACGCCGG
rnacentral:rRNA from 1 species